rnacentral:rRNA from 1 species
UACGUAGGGUGCGAGCGUUGUCCGGAAUUAUUGGGCGUAAAGAGCUCGUAGGCGGUGUGUCACGUCGGCCGUGAAAACCUGCAGCUUAACUGUGGGCGUGCGGUCGAUACGGGCAUCACUGGAGUUCGGCAGGGGAGACUGGAAUUCCCGGUGUAGCGGUGAAAUGCGCAGAUAUCAGGAGGAGCACCGGUGGCGAAGGCGGGUCUCUGGGCCGAUACUGACGCUGAGGAGCGAAAGCGUGGGGAGCAAACAGG